UGGUACGAUUGUUGUUGAGGUUCAGCAGCCUUCUAGUGCUCAAACUAACAAGAAAGAAGCCAUGUAGGGAAGGAAUGGUAUAGUUUAGGGAUUGGGUGAGGCAUUGGUGAAUAGAGAAAAAGAAGAAGCUAGGGUGUUGGAUUCAUGAAUUGGGUGAAUAGGUUAUAUAUGGGCUAAAUGGGUGGAUAAAUUGGAUUAUUGGGUUCUGGCUUAAUGGGCCUGUGGAUUUUGGGUUGAUGGGUAUUGGGUUAAUAGGUUAGCAGA
rnacentral:lncRNA from 1 species